GGUAGCAGGACAGCGAAUAUGAGACUGAGUCAACAUAAACUACAGUGCGUGUGUGUGUGUGCGCUGCAAUGAAGCAACAUGUCACCAGUGCAACAGUGUGGCUCACUAAAACACCAGCAGUGCUCUGUGGCACAGAGCGCUCAGAGGGAACGUCCUGCGUGUCAGGACAGAGCCGGGUGAACCUUCUGUCCUCCUCGGGAGCCAGCGUCCUGAGCACAGCAGGUUCUCCUGCAGACAGGUGAUCCAUCAGCUCCAGCAGGUGUCGUCCUGCCUCUCUGUGCUCCAAAGGAGCCAAUCAUGUGGCGAGAUGCCCCCUCCUCUCCUCGCUCAGCCAAACAGCAGCUGUGUCGGUGCAGUAGGAGGGGCAAGGGCAGCGAGGAAGCACCACCAUGAGCCGGAGACGCUUUUAGAAACACCGGGUGGACCGAUAUAGCAGCCAGGACGGAACAGCCAAGGAAAGGAGAGGACGAGCUGGAUAAUCCUCGGUUUCAUCAGAGAAACAUUAAAGAUAAACUGACAAAGAUCAUCUCUUGUGUAUCAUCAUGCAAAACACUGUGGAUAUAAACAGUCGAGAUGAAAACAAGCACGUCUCUCACCUUAUU